rnacentral:lncRNA from 1 species
UCCAAAAUCAGCUGCCUACGCAGAGGACAAACUUUACCAAACCUUAUCCUGACUCUUUCUACAUACCCAGAACUGUAUACUUUAAAGCCAAAGGGAAACUAUCUGAACUGCAUCACCAACUCCAAUGUUUUCAGGAACAAAGUAGGUAACAUAAAAAGCAGGCUUGUGGAAGAUAAAUCCAGUGGGUCUAUUAAUGAAGACCAAUCCAGUCUCAGUGUGGAGGAUGCAACAAGAAGAAAAGAGCUACUCAGAGAACUUGAGAAAACAGAAUUUACUGUCAAGAGUUCUCAGACCUUUCAAAAGGUCUCAGACCCUAAGCACCAUGUUCUCUAAUGAAUAAGAUUGUACAACCAAUGUUAAUCAGCUUCUCAGAUUACUUCCUUGGUUCCAGAAACCUCAUCUUUCUCACCUGCCACUCAGACAAGCCUCAGUGAAUGCUGGUUCAGAGGAUACUGUACAGACUGGAGAAUCAUGCAUGGAAGGUCGAUGUCUACUCUGAUGACUCCAGGAUGGAAGGAAGGAUGCCUCAUGUGACCCUAACCUCCACCAUUUCUAG